CAGUAGUGUUAUCCGUCAAGAAAAGAAAGAUUUUACCCUAUAGUAUUCAUGUGUAAAGUGCGUGCAUCUGUUGAGGAUUUAAUUAAACCAUCUUAUUUUUUCUAACAUCAUUCGACCCAUGAGAUUCGUGUAGGCACACAUGGCAGGGACAGAGUCAUCACACAAUAUACGAGUAUUUAAAGGAAAUACUUAUGGGACGGAUCA